rnacentral:SRP_RNA from 1 species
GACGCGUCAGGCGACCAGCUCCUGCCGAACCUCCCCAGGGUGGAAACACAGCAAGGAUAAGGCGGUUGAGCGGUGUGCUUGGCGCAUUUUU